AUGGAUAUGAUUUAUUUUUACAAUGGAGGGAAUAGUCCCGAGUCGCCGCAGGCUUACGACCCGGCACUUGGGGGCUACAUUAUUCAAAUUGAGAUUACAUCAAAUAUGCAAGUCCCAUGUCACUGCCAGCAUGCACCAUGGCACUUGGGGGCUAAUGUAAAGUCAUUUUUUGAUCAACUUAUUGAAGACCCUACUCAUCCCAUUGUAAUGAGCCGGUCCUUGGGGGCUACCAAUUGCUCCUGUCAAAAAUUCAAGGUACACAAGCCUCAACCCAUUAUAUUGAAAGAUCCACUACUCAGUAGGUAG
rnacentral:rRNA from 1 species